CGGGGUGAGUAAUGUCUGGGAAACUGCCUGAUGGAGGGGGAUAACUGCUGGAAACGGUAGCUAAUACCGCAUAACGCCGCAAGACCAAAGAGGGGGACCUUCGGGCCCCUUGCCAUCGGAUGUGCCCAGAUGGGAUUAGCUAGUAGGUGGAGUAACGGCUCACCUAGGCGACGAUCCCUAGCUGGUCUGAGAGGAUGACCAGCCACACUGGAACUGAGACACGGUCCAG
rnacentral:rRNA from 1 species